GGGUGUGAGCUAUGGAAGCUUCUGUAGCUCUCAAACCACAUGUGUUAAACUUACGAUAUUUACUGGUUUUCCCAGUGAAUAUAAUCUCAGCGACAGUUAGUUGGCGCUAUUGUCAAGAAGGUCUUCAUAAGUAAUGUCCAUUAGAGAGGCACAUUAGUGGCCACAGAGGAGAAAAGGCGGUAGAUUGGAAACGAUAGAUGCUCCAGUGAUGGGGAGGAGAGAGAGUGGGUGUGAGUAGGCGAUGAAACACUUGAAGAGAAGUUGUAGCACGUGUUUUGCUUUACUUUUCCAUUAUUCGUUCUAAUGGAUUUAUCAUAGUUUAUCAUUUUAUCCUACUGGAAUUGUGCCUUUGUGGGCCUAUUGCAAUUAACAGCACGGGAGAUGGGUUUAAGCGAACUUAACAAACAGAAAGUAUAUGAACUCGAAGAAUACGGAUCGGGUUUGUUCAUAAUGGAUCAUAAUGAAGGAAGAGAAUCGUAUUAUCGUUUGCAUGAUUCCCAGAUUUCUCCAGCAUGGAUGGACCCGGAGAAUUCAACGGCUCUUCCGAAUCUUACUGAGGACACUACAUCCAGCCCAGAUCUUGAUGUUAUUACAUCUAGUCCACAUCUUCAGUGGCUUCUGCAGUCCUCUCUAUUUUCCCAAUCAGAGGCCACCUUGGAAACAUUUUCCUCAUUCGCACCCAACACCAUGCCCAGCUGCCCCUGUUUGUCACAGUGCUCCAGUCCUGACCCAUCCUGGAAUGGAGCAGCGGGGGACAGUUCAGUAGGACAUGCUAACAAACAUGUAAGUUACUGAUAUUUCUAAUAUUUUCAGAGUUUAGAAUGCAGAAUGUAGUGAAAGUAAAGUUCCGGUGAUUCAUUCAUUUAUGGUAAAAGAGUGAAAUGACUCACACCUGAAUCACAAAAGGGCUUGAGGAGUGAGUCAGCGCUGUAGUAUUUGAGUGGGAAUGAUGGAUGGAUCAUGUUGUCAUUGGUGCCAAUGGAUGAGUAACAGGAACAGCAUAUUUGGAAUUGGGUAGAAUUGCUUUGAGCAUGUUUUAUGGAUAUCAGCCAUACGAUGGCAGCACCAUCACUCUUUUAGACUGAAGCUUGGUUCUUAAAUGAAAUUUGGAAUUGCCUUGCUAACACCUAACACCUCGGCCUUUAUAGAUGUCCUCUGAGGAACUUGACAAGAUAAGGAUCCGCAGGGAAAGGAAC
ensembl:lncRNA